rnacentral:lncRNA from 1 species
GUUGAAGAUGACUCACUACCACCAUGUCCAACCUCCAAUUUGAAGGAAAAUGGAAAGGGGAAAGUUGAACCAACAGUACCUUUAUGAAGGCAUGGCCUGAAAAUGGAAGAUUAUCACUUCUCUUUGCAUCACACUGGCAGAUCAGUGUGGAAAUGGAUGUGGACGCGGUGCUGCUGCCUGAGAUUAGCAGGAAGCAAUUCUUUUCCCAUUUGGAGAGACCCCGGUGAGACCUGAUCAACUAGCAACAUGCGGAAGUCACACCAUUAAGUCUUCCAAUUUGCUAGCAGCAAAUCAAUGAACUCUGAUAGCUGCUGCCCUAAGCUAGCAUCCAGGGAACUGUGGACAAGCUAUUUGAUACCUGAAUUUUAGUGAAGGAAAGUUAAAUUUUUUCUUAAAGCAGGGUGGGAGUGGGGUUGUGUGGGGAAGAUUAUAUUAAGCAGUGAGAGAAGACAGAUGGAGUUUUGUAGAAAGAGAGCUGGUUGUUUUAAAUUGUAUCUUAAAUUUAUUGUAGAGCUAUUGGUAAUUAGUGUUUUGUUGUUGUGUGUUUAUACCAACCAAUUAAUAAGAAAGGCUUUUAUUUUUAUUUCAUCAGUUGGAGCUGAACUUUAUUUUUUAUUAUAAAUAUAAGGCAUUAUUCUAGGGCCUGGCAAACAUAGGCAGCCACUUUUUUUUUCUGGGGAAGAUUAUACCUUGGUAUGUUUUCACCACUGUGAGAUGAAAAUUUGAGAACAGUGAGAGACAGAUGCUUGCCUGAGGAGUUUUAUUUUCCCUUUAAUCCUUAUCAAAUAUCCAGAUAUUACCUAUAUUGCCUUGAUCUGCUGUCUGAAGGUGGGUUUCUUUGAUUGUUUGAAGAGUUCUGGGCACUAGAGGUGCUUACUUUGUGACGGGAGCAAAUAACAAGGUGUUGCCCAUGACAUGGUCAAGCCUCUUCUUCAAUUAGCCACCUAUCUUGGGCAUGUUUUCAUAGAGAUAUAUCUCAUCCCUUUUAAUAACUGCAGAAUCUUGGACAUUUAGAGGUCUCCAAAUAUUGGUUGUCAUUUAUGGUGUAUCGUGUUUUUGUUAUUAUAAUAACGUUGCAAUA